AUUUCAUUUUUUUCUAGGCUUACAAUUUUGAUGAUUUUUUCAUAGCAAGGCUAGUGUGUGGACUUUAAGGCCGGAGAACCCCAGGGCUUGGAGAGUUCUGCCUGGCACAGCUUUGAGAAUGAGGAUGUUAUAGGAAUAACCACUACUCUUUACUGGUCUCUUGCUACAUGCCUGACAGAGAGCGCCGAGAGGGAAAGGGAAUGGUGCAUGACGGAACAAAGAGGAGCUGGUGACAGACAAGGAGCAUGGUCACCAAACUUAGAAGCCACCUCCUGUUCUAAAUGGUCUGAUGGGAAGAUUUCUAUGUUUGGUGACUAAUCACAGAUGGAUUGAGACAAUUCGUUCCCAUUGAGCUGCUUACGAACAAGCACAAUUAGAAGUUGACAGCAAACACGCUUCACAAAAAUUAUCACAUUUAGUGUGAUUCCCAUAAUAAAAACA